AUUGAACGCUGGCGGCAGGCCUAACACAUGCAAGUCGAACGAGUGGCGGACGGGUGAGUAAUGUUUGGGAAACUGCCCGAUGGAGGGGGAUAACUACGGGAAACGGUAGCUAAUACCGCAUACCAUCGGAUGAGCCCAGGUGGGAUUAGCUAGUAGGUGGGGUAACGGCUCACCUAGGCGACGAUCCCUAGCUGGUCUGAGAGGAUGACCAGCCACACUGGAACUGAGACACGGUCCAGACUCCUACGGGAGGCAGCAGUGGGGAAUAUUGCGCAAUGGGCGCAACCCUGAUGCAGCCAUGCCGCGUGUAUGAAGAAGGCCUUCGGGUUGUAAAGUUCUUUCAGCAGGGAGGCGUUACCCACAGAAGAAGCACCGGCUAACUCCGUGCCAGCAGCCGCGGUAAUAC
rnacentral:rRNA from 1 species